rnacentral:misc_RNA from 1 species
AAAUUAUGCAAAAAAGUACUAAAUUGUUUGUUUUUCAAAGGUGAUGACUAGGAAGAAUUUGUAGUGGUGGUAGACUAUUGGGUAUGUGUCUUUGUUGUUUGUUCAGGCUUGAGUUCAUUAGGUCCAAGCAUGUUGUUUAGCAGCCAAGAAUUAGAGAAAGAGGUAGACAGAAGUAGUGAAUGGAUAAGAUGUGUAAGGGGGGAGGAGAGAGAGAGAGUUUGUCUUGAAAUCAAGAAGGUUUUAUAUUCAGCUAUCAUAUAGUCAAUGCAACUCCCCAUUAUUCUUUUAUACAAUCAAGUUGAAUUGACGAACCAGACCAAUAAGUAAUAUGGAUGAAAACAAACAACUCAGCUGCUCAUUAGAAAUAGCCAAGAAUUUAGGAUUUGAGUUCAUUAGGUCCUAGCAGGUUGUUUGGUAGCCAAGAAUUAGAGAGAGGAAAACCAAAAUAGUGAAGGG